UGCCAGCCGCCGCGGUAAUACUGAAGGUGCGAGCGUUAAUCGGAAUUACUGGGCGUAAAGCGCGCGUAGGCGGCUUGUUAAGUCGGAUGUGAAAGCCCCGGGCUCAACCUGGGAACUGCACUCGAUACUGGCAAGCUAGAGUACGGGAGAGGGUUGUGGAAUUCCACGUGUAGCGGUGAAAUGCGUAGAUAUGUGAAGGAACAUCAGUGGCGAAGGCGACCUUCUGGACUGAUACUGACACUGAGGUGCGAAAGCGUGGGGAGCGAACAGGAUUAGAUA
rnacentral:rRNA from 1 species